UGACGGGGAAUCAGGGUUCGAUUCCGGAGAGGGAGCCUGAGAAACGGCUACCACAUCCAAGGAAGGCAGCAGGCACGCAAAUUACCCACUCCCGGCACGGGGAGGUAGUGACAAAAAAUAACGAUACGGGACUCAUCCGAGGCCCCGUAAUCGGAAUGAGAACACCCUAAAUCCUUUAACGAGGAUCUAUUGGAGGGCAAGUCUGGUGCCAGCAGCCGCGGUAAUUCCAGCUCCAAUAGCGUAUAUUAAAGUUGUUGCGGUUAAAAAGCUCGUAGUUGGUUCUGCGUGCCACGCUGUCGGUUCACCGCCUGCCGGUGCAACUGGCAUGCCGUGGCAUGUCCUGUCGGUGGCGGAUAGGCUUCGCGGCGUGCCCCGUGCGUUCGCGUGCGGGUCGCCGCGCCGCGUCGUCC
rnacentral:rRNA from 1 species